GGUGAUGAAGCUGCCAAGUUCUGGAAUGUACUUCCUAACAUGUGUGUUUGAUGUUGACAAGAAUCCAACUUUCAAUUAAAUGGAAAUGACAUUUUUGUUAUAUGAUAAUGCCCUGUUAUCACUAAAUAAUAAUGAAUGUGUUUAUUUGAGUUCUUUGGAAAUUGUCCAACCCUGUUCUUAUUAGAAACAUAAACUUAUUGUUAUUGCAUCAAGUGGUAUUACAUUCUGUUGACAAUUUUCUAUUUUAAGUGAAACGUGCAUUUAAAUGGCAUUAGAAGUUUAUGUGUUUAGGCUUUUUACAACUUCUAACAACCAACAAACAAUAUUAGAAGUGACUUUAAACACUCAGAUCCUUUGGAGUCCGACGCUCUCCAAUGGAAGCAAAAGGUCCCGCUCACCUAUUUCUAGGAUCUCUGUUUGGUUUGCGAUAAAGUUUAAGAA
rnacentral:lncRNA from 1 species